rnacentral:snoRNA from 1 species
AUCCUCCAGAUUCCUGACCCCUCAGAUGUGAACAUUGGUCUGAGUGGCUUGAAAGGAGGAAAAGUCUAGCUGAAGUGAACCUGAAUUCUUUUUUAAAUCAUUUUAUUGGGGGCUCAUACAACUCAUCA